rnacentral:rRNA from 1 species
GAAAGCCCUUCGGGGUGAGUAUAGCGGCGGACGGGUGAGUAACGCGUAGGAAUCUACCUGGUAGUGGGGGACAACAUGUGGAAACGCAUGCUAAUACCGCAUACGCCCUACGGGGGAAAGCGGGGGACCUUCGGGCCUCGUGCUAUCAGAUGAGCCUGCGUAAGAUUAGCUAGUUGGUGGGGUAAAGGCUCACCAAGGCGACGAUCUUUAGCUGGUCUGAGAGGAUGAUCAGCCACACUGGGACUGAGACACGGCCCAGACUCCUACGGGAGGCAGCAGUGGGGAAUAUUGCGCAAUGGGCGAAAGCCUGACGCAGCCAUGCCGCGUGUGUGAAGAAGGCCUUAGGGUUGUAAAGCACUUUCAAUUGGGAGGAAAGGUUAUGCGUUAAUAGCGUAUAACUGUGACGUUACCUUUAGAAGAAGCACCGGCUAACUCCGUGCCAGCAGCCGCGGUAAUACGGAGGGUGCGAGCGUUAAUCGGAAUUACUGGGCGUAAAGCGCGCGUAGGCGGUUUAUUAAGUCGGAUGUGAAAGCCCCGGGCUCAACCUGGGAACUGCAUCCGAUACUGGUCGACUAGAGUACGAGAGAGGGAGGUAGAAUUCCACGUGUAGCGGUGAAAUGCGUAGAUAUGUGGAGGAAUACCGGUGGCGA